CACGUAGGGCGCAAGCGUUGUCCGGAAUUAUUGGGCGUAAAGAGCUCGUAGGCGGUCUGUUGCGUCCGCUGUGAAACUCGGGCUUAACCCCGAGCCUGCAGUGGAUACGGGCAGACUAGAGGUAGGUAGGGGAGAAUGGAAUUCCGGUGUAGCGGUGAAAUGCGCAGAUAUCGGGAGGAACACCGGUGGCGAAGGCGGUUCUACUGG
rnacentral:rRNA from 1 species